CCUCUUUUUCUUCUUCUCUUCUCUUUUAUGCACCUUACUGUCGUCACGAUCUCACCUUCUCGUUCCAAACAAAUUUUUUCCCCUGCUAGCUUAGAAAGUGAAAGAAACUGGAGGUAGGAAGACGAGGCUUUUGUGUCUCAUCUAUGGUGGCGUCCCCCCGAAGUGGAAUCUAGGGCGCGGCGGAAAGAAGGGGAAGUGAAAGGCGGAGGACUUUUGAGUUUUAUUGGCCGAGAGGCUAGGGCACGGUGUGAUUUGGUUCGAUCUCGGUGUGGAAGCUCGGGGAAUCAACUUAUUGCGUAGUGGUUUUGUGGUUGUGGGAUUUUGGAAACCUUAGAUUUGGGUCAGGGUUGUGUGGUUGGCUGAUUAAGCUAGGGGCGGGGCUGCCCUUGCGAUUGACUGGGUUUUCAUGCUGUCAAAACCACUGCCUUGGGAUCGGAAGGACUUCUUCAAGGAGAGGAGAGGAAGCACGAGAGGUCGGAGUCUUUAAGUUUGCUGCAAGAUAGAGGACUCACAUCAGGGUUCUUGGGAGUUUGCUCGCCGGAAUCGGCAGACUUGCGCCGUCCUACAGAAGCACGAGAGGUCUGAGUCUUUAGGUUAGCUGCAAGAUAGAGGGACUCGCAUCAGGUUCUUGGGAGUUUGCUCGCCGGGAUCGGUAGACUUUCGCCCCCUACAGGUGAGUUAUGAAUCCGGGUUCUUGAUGAUUGUGAUGAAAUUCGUAGGUUUUGGUUUAAACCAAGAAUAAUAAUAAGGUUCUUAGAAAAUU